rnacentral:rRNA from 1 species
GAUGAACGCUGGCGGCGUGCCUAAUACAUGCAAGUCGAGCGAACAGAUAAGGAGCUUGCUCCUUUGACGUUAGCGGCGGACGGGUGAGUAACACGUGGGUAACCUACCUAUAAGACUGGGAUAACUUCGGGAAACCGGAGCUAAUACCGGAUAAUAUUUCGAACCGCAUGGUUCGAUAGUGGAAGAUGGUUUUGCUAUCACUUAUAGAUGGACCCGCGCCGUAUUAGCUAGUUGGUAAGGUAACGGCUUACCAAGGCGACGAUACGUAGCCGACCUGAGAGGGUGAUCGGCCACACUGGAACUGAGACACGGUCCAGACUCCUACGGGAGGCAGCAGUAGGGAAUCUUCCGCAAUGGGCGAAAGCCUGACGGAGCAACGCCGCGUGAGUGAUGAAGGUCUUCGGAUCGUAAAACUCUGUUAUUAGGGAAGAACAUACGUGUAAGUAACUGUGCACGUCUUGACGGUACCUAAACAGAAAGCCACGGCUAACUACGUG